GCCAGGUGUGGUGGUGUGCACCUGUAGUCCUAACCACUUGGGAGGCUGAGACGAGAGGAUUGCUUGAGGCCAGGAGUUUGAGGCUGCAGUGAGGUAUAUGAUAGCACCACUGCACUCUAGCCUGGGUGACAGAGCAAGACCCCAUCUCUU
ensembl:misc_RNA Metazoa_SRP Metazoan signal recognition particle RNA